GGCUGGCGCGGCGCCCAGCCUGAGUCACACGCAUGAGGCAGCGUGAGUCAGGCGCGGAGGGAAGUCCCUACGGAAGGGGCUUUCGGAGCCGCAAUCGAAUCGCAGGGAAAGAGAAAGUGUUCGGAAGGCUCCUUUGACACAGUGACCUUGUGUGAGCCAGAGCCGGACACACCCCACACCCUCCCCGCAGACAACGCACACCCCCAGCCCACCGAGGCCGUGGGCCCUCCCUGCGUGGCUCCCAGAGCAGCCCCUCUCCCAGCUUCCAGCAUCGCUCACCUGCAGCUAGACCCCAGACCCAUGUGCCCACACGCACUGGGGAGCAGGGUGUCAAGAAGGACCCUUUGGGGGUAAACCAGAUCACCAUGUCAAACCCUGUGGGGUGGUAGAGGAGAUGGGCAACCUGGGGUCCUGUAGGGAUGAAAGAUCCCCUCCCUCAGGCUCCCCUCCUAACCCUCAGAGACUGACCUGGAAUCAGAUUGGCUCCAUUGAACUAAACAAAUAUUUACUGAACACCUAUAAUAAAAUACAGCGCCAGGCUCUGAAAACCUGAAA